UGGGGGAUAGCAUUAGUCCACAUAAAUAUAAUUAUAAUAUAGUCAGCACCCAAUAAAGCCUGCAGUAUAAAUACUACAGCCCAUUGACAUAACACAAUCCUUGGUCAUCUCAUAAAAAUUAUACAAAAUUUAUUUAAAACCAAACAAACUUCAGAAAUCAUUCAUCAUGUACCAUUCAAAUUAUUAUGAUUAUUUCUUUUGCUUAGAUUACCAGCAUUUCAUACACAAGAUACAACUAUCUAGGUAGGGCAAUCUCUAUACUAAAGGUUAAUAAAUGAAAAAUAAAUAUUUGCUUAUCUUAAACCUCUCUUCUUAACACCACAUUCUUGGCGGGAGAACCAAUGACACUUCCUAGAUAAGCCAUCAACCUUCUGUCCCUGCUUACUCAAGGGCGCUUUCCUUUCUCAUGAGUUACUGUGGAAUUUAGUGUAAACGAGUUCCAAGAAGCUUAUUUCUGAUAGAACAAAGCUUUGAGACCACAUCAACGAUGCUCAUCCUCUCUCCUGGCAAUUCUGCAGAACAAACAACUCCAAUUUGAAAUAUCAGAAUCAAACAUUCCAUAAUUCUAUUAGUUCCUUUGCUUUUUGGAUCUGGUUCACUUCUUUCUUGAAGGAGAAUUGGAUCUACAAUCUCUGCUACUCCAUCUGGUAAAGCUAACUUAACAAACUUGUGAAGGUUUAAACCUUCUAUGAACAAGUCACUAGUGGGUCUCUUCCCAGUAAACAUCUCCAACAAGAGAAUGCCAUAGCUGUACACAUCACCAUUUGUUGACACAUCACUUCCUAAACCAUAUUCUGGAGGGGCAAAACCAAUGGUUCCUCUUAAGCCAAUAGAACUUGAUUGAUUAACAGAAGGAUUGAGAAUGCCCUCUGAAAGGAAUUUUGCUAGCCCAAAGUCACUGAUAUGGCCAGUCAAUUCAUCAUCCAGAAGAACAUUGCUUGGCUUGAGAUCACAGUGAAUAAUUGAGUUUUCACAAUGAUGAUGGAGAUAUUCAAUUGCAGAAGCAACAUCAAUUGCAAUAUUCACUCUCUGAAGAAGAUUUAAUUUCUUUGAUUCCUCAUAAUUGCCAUCUGCUGAAACUGGUGGAUGCAACCACUCCUCAAGGUUUCCAUUAUCCAUGUACUCAUAAACCAGUGCCUUGAAGUCAUUGCCUUGAUAAUCAACACCUGAACAUGCAGUUACUAUCUUUACAAGAUUCCGGUGUCUGAUAUUUCUCAAGGCUUCACACUCAGCCAUGAAACUCUUAGCUGCUCCAUGAUGCUGGAGGUUAAGCACUUUAAUAGCAAUCACUGGUCCACCUUCAUCAAGGAUUCCUUUAUAUACAGACCCAAAACUGCCAGUACCAAUUAAAUUUGCUGAGGAGAACCCAUCAGUGGCCUUAUGGAGAUCUCUAUACGACACAUUUGGAAGUUUCAGAAGGGAAUUUUCUGAGUAGGAUGAAGAGAGUUUGUGACUUUUCUUUCUUAAUCUCAAAAGAAAUAUAAAGGACAACACCACCAAAAUUGCUCCUAAACUUCCUGCUAUGGUGGCAGCAAUUAGCUUUGGUCUCCUUUUGUCAGACCUUUUGAGCUUGCACGCAGGCAGUUGGAACUCAGGUAUGCCUCCGCAAAGCCUAGAGUUACCCAUGACUGAAGUAACGCUUGCAUUCUUGAAGACCCCAUCAGUUGGCAAUCUGCCUUCAAAAUUAUUGAAUGAUAAGUUAAGAUUGAUUGUUAAAUUAAAACCUGCCAAAAAUUCAGGAAUUUGGCCAGACAAAUUGUUAUAAGACAAAUCCAAAACUUGAAGACCUCUCAAUGAACU
rnacentral:misc_RNA from 1 species